UGGGGAAUUUUGCGCAAUGGGGGAAACCCUGACGCAGCAACGCCGCGUGAGUGAUGAAGGCCUUCGGGUCGUAAAGCUCUGUCAGAGGGGAAGAAAUGCAGGGGUGCUAAUAUCAUCUUUGCUUGACGGUACCCUCAAAGGAAGCACCGGCUAACUCCGUGCCAGCAGCCGCGGUAAUACGGAGGGUGCGAGCGUUGUUCGGAAUUAUUGGGCGUAGAGCGCGUGUAGGCGGUUUGAUAAGUCUGAUGUGAGAGCCCCGGGCUCAACCUGGGAAGUGCAUUGGAAACUGUCAGACUUGAAUACGGGAGAGGGUAGUGGAAUUCCUAGUGUAGGAGUGAAAUCCGUAGAUAUUAGGAGGAACACCGGUGGCGAAGGCGGCUACCUGGACCGAUAUUGACGCUGAGACGCGAAAGCGUGGGGAGCAAACAG
rnacentral:rRNA from 1 species